AUGGAGAAGUCAGCCACAAUACCAGCAUUGAUGAAGACUCAUAGUUUAAGUAACAAUUUCAGUCCGUUCUUUAUUUCUUAUCAGUUGCAAAAUCAUAGUUUGAGUUACAAUUCAUGACAUUCGUUUCAAUCCACUGGGUCCCUCAAACCAGUCUUACAAACUUACCAGAUUUCCUAUUUCCUAAAUUACCCUGAUUUCUUAUUGCGUGGGGCUAUUUAGGCUUAAAUAAUGAACUGGAACUCAACAGGGGUCCUCUGACCAAAAUCAGACCAGACUGGAGACUAUUAAACACACACUAGAUCCAAUAAGGGUCUAUUUAUUGACCUGACCUAAUAAGGGCUCAACACCUGAACCGAAUCAGGUGGGGUCCAUCAACCAACCUAGCACAUUUAGACCCAUUAACCUGACCC
rnacentral:lncRNA from 1 species